UACGUAGGGCGCAAGCGUUGUCCGGAAUUAUUGGGCGUAAAGAGCUCGUAGGUGGCGUGUCGCGUCUGCCGUGAAAGCCCAUGGCUUAACUGUGGGUCUGCGGUGGAUACGGGCGGCUGGAGGCUGGUAGGGGCAAGCGGAAUUCCUGGUGUAGCGGUGAAAUGCGCAGAUAUCAGGAGGAACACCGGUGGCGAAGGCGGCUUGCUGGGCCAGUUCUGACGCUGAGGAGCGAAAGCGUGGGGAGCGAACAGG
rnacentral:rRNA from 1 species